rnacentral:rRNA from 1 species
ACACAUGCAAGUCGAACGGCAGCACGGGUGCUUGCACCUGGUGGCGAGUGGCGAACGGGUGAGUAAUACAUCGGAACAUGUCCUGUAGUGGGGGAUAGCCCGGCGAAAGCCGGAUUAAUACCGCAUACGAUCUACGGAUGAAAGCGGGGGACCUUCGGGCCUCGCGCUAUAGGGUUGGCCGAUGGCUGAUUAGCUAGUUGGUGGGGUAAAGGCCUACCAAGGCGACGAUCAGUAGCUGGUCUGAGAGGACGACCAGCCACACUGGGACUGAGACACGGCCCAGACUCCUACGGGAGGCAGCAGUGGGGAAUUUUGGACAAUGGGCGAAAGCCUGAUCCAGCAAUGCCGCGUGUGUGAAGAAGGCCUUCGGGUUGUAAAGCACUUUUGUCCGGAAAGAAAUCCUUGGUUCUAAUAUAGCCGGGGGAUGACGGUACCGGAAGAAUAAGCACCGGCUAACUACGUGCCAGCAGCCGCGGUAAUACGUAGGGUGCGAGCGUUAAUCGGAAUUACUGGGCGUAAAGCGUGCGCAGGCGGUUUGCUAAGACCGAUGUGAAAUCCCCGGGCUCAACCUGGGAACUGCAUUGGUGACUGGCAGGCUAGAGUAUGGCAGAGGGGGGUAGAAUUCCACGUGUAGCAGUGAAAUGCGUAGAGAUGUGGAGGAAUACCGAUGGCGAAGGCAGCCCCCUGGGCCAAUACUGACGCUCAUGCACGAA